AAAAUAAUAGAGAGCACAACAUAACAGAGAGAGUAGAUAGAGAAAGAGAGGUAGAUAUACAAGCAGAGAGACACAGACAAAAGCCUUGGAAGCCUUGGGAAUUGCUUUGGGCAGCCAAUUUACAUGGCAUCCACUUCCAUGGCGGCCACCGCCACCUUAAUGCCCUGUCGGCUACCCUCCACCACCACUGCCAACUACCCACCUCGCUGCUCAUCGCUGCCUUCCCUUCCACCUCUCCUCUUGUCCACCCCAGCCUUUUCCACUUCCUUGAAACAGCUCUCUCAGAACCCGGGAGGUUUUCUAUUCUUCAAGUCAAGGCCACUUCCUCAGAAGAGUCAUCUCCUCCUGUUGAUGCCGGAAAAUUAUUCAGUGAUCUAAAGGAAAAGGUGAGGAGCAAACCGGGCACCAUACCAAAGAAGAGGAAGCUUGAAACUAUUUCUCAGUUUGUCUUUCCAUUGCUUUCUGUUACAACUUCUUUUGAUUUGAGUCUAUACUGAUGGUUCACAUGAAA